AUUAAACUUCUUCCUCAAACGUAAUAAGGUCCCAAAGCUUUUUACCCUCCAUUUGGUGACAGUAAAAGUUGAAGAAUGAGGUUUCUAGCACUUGCUUUAGUCUUGAUGAUGGUGAGCUCUUGUUUGGCUACAAAUCGGAAAACUAUGAUGGUUGAAAUGCAUGAACAAGAGCAGCGGCAGCUAACCGAGGACAGGAGCAACCCAAACGAUAACAGUGAUCACCACUCCUGUCCUAGAAAAGAUUUCCCAUGUGGACCUGCUGGGGCUAAAUCAAUGCCUCAGGGCACUUAGCCAAAUGAAGCUUGUGAUGUAGGGCUUAUAAGUUAAUAUAUUAUAUAAACUUGACCAAGCAAAAAAUAGUAAAAUAAAGCUUUCGUCUAAUGGUUUGAGUACUGGACUGGCCAUAUAGGCUCGAAUCAUGCCCCGUGUUUUCUUCAAUACUUCUAUGCACUGAAAAUAAGCUAAACCCGGAAUAGCAUAGAUGACAUAAGUUUGUGCUUGUGGUUUGGGUUGUCUACAUAUUGUAUUUCUGCAACAUAUGACUACUAUGUAAAUCAACUACGUUAUGUGAUAAAAACUAUAAACAAUCAUAAGUUUGGAGUAUGUUUAAUUAUUGCUUGGUUA